UCCCUUUGCUUUUUCUUGCUGCUGCUUCUGCUGAAGACUGGAACCUUCCCCACUUCCAAAUGCACGACAAGUUUGACAAACAUUUUGUCUAUGACAUUUUGUUUUGCUGGAUCUUCCGCCUAUGCUGCAGUGUAUUCUGCUCACAGAGCCCUGAGUUUGAUGACCUCCGGUGGUGUCUUGAUGGUGUGAACCAAUGGUAACGGGCGAUUUAAGCUGUAUGUGCUUAAAAACAGAAGGUCAGUGUAUAAAGGAUGAGCAUGGGUCUUGCUGUACAGUCUGCACUUGAUGUGCUGCCCUGCUGUCAUGGGUAGUAACUACUGAUCACGGAUUGCUUGGACUCCUAAGAAACCAGUGGUCAGUUGACCUCAGCAGAUGCCACCUCUCCAACCAUGACUGCUAAUGUAAACUCAAAGCAACGGCCAGUUGACCAACCCAAGUUGAUGCUGCUGUGUUGGCUGCAGCUGGUUGAUUCUGCAAAGCUGUAGAAGAUGGGCAUCAUUUGGAGUUGUGUGUGCCAAAGAGGUGGAUAAGCAAAGUCCAACGGGCUAGACCGUCCCCAACAACUCCCUUUGGCCAUCACAAGAAGCUGCACUGAUGGCCUCUGCUCCCCAGCGUUUUGUUGAUCACAGGGUGCGGGAUAUUUCUUGUAUGAGAGGAAAACCUGCUUCUUCUGCAACGGCACCCUAACAAAUAAUCAAGAAGUGCUGUGGAUCUUCUGAAUGUCUGGAGCUGGCCCCGCUAGGAGAACUCUGCCUCUGUAAAGCUUGAGGCUUGCCUGAACUCUAGCUACACCAGGAGGGACAAGAGCUUGCUAAAAAUAUGGGUGGACUUGGUUUUCCUGUGCACACAUGCUUGUAUCAUGUCUGAACAUGCAAAGAAUAUAAUUAGCUAUUCCCAAGGAAUCCAGUAAAUGGUGAAUCUGCAAACCAA